rnacentral:rRNA from 1 species
AUUGAACGCUGGCGGCAUGCUUUACGCAUGCAAGUCGAACGGUAACAGGUUAAGCUGACGAGUGGCGAACGGGUGAGUAAUGCAUCGGAACGUGCCCGAUCGUGGGGGAUAACGCAGCGAAAGCUGCGCUAAUACCGCAUACGAUCUGAGGAUGAAAGCGGGGGACCGUAAGGCCUCGCGCGAUCGGAGCGGCCGAUGUCAGAUUAGGUAGUUGGUGGGGUAAAGGCCCACCAAGCCGACGAUCUGUAGCUGGUCUGAGAGGACGACCGGCCACACUGGGACUGAGACACGGCCCAGACUCCUACGGGAGGCAGCAGUGGGGAAUUUUGGACAAUGGGCGAAAGCCUGAUCCAGCAAUGCCGCGUGCAGGAAGAAGGCCUUCGGGUUGUAAACUGCUUUUGUACGGAGCGAAAAGGUCCUUUCUAAUACAAGGGGCUCAUGACGGUACCGUAAGAAUAAGCACCGGCUAACUACGUGCCAGCCGCCGCCGUAA